rnacentral:lncRNA from 1 species
GUAAUUUUUCUUCAAGCACAGCACAUGUAUAACUACCUGGUUAUGUAUGUGCAUGCAAAUUAUAGUGUUUAUAAAUUGUGAGUUUAGAUUUGACUGUAUUUUCACACAACAGUCAGCUGUUGUUUUAUAUGUAUUUGUUAUGUUUUCAUGGUUAUUACUUGUACUAUGUAUUAUUCGUCUCUUUUUGUUGUUGUCCACUCAUAUCCCCCCACAAGUUUAACGUUAUCCAAGACAUAACGUUACAAUCUAUAAUCUGACAUAAAUGACAAUUACCUUCAAUUGAUAAAAUAGCAUCCGAUUUUACUGUAGUCAUAUUUGGCAAAAUGCAUUUGCAUAUCAAUCGAAUAUUCACAACAGAAAAAGAUAACGGCAUAUCAAUAAUCCUUUCAAAACAAAUAUUUUGGAAACAUUUCCUUGAAUAAAAAGCAC